rnacentral:lncRNA from 1 species
CAGGCUGGGCAGCUUUAUCUGCAAGUUGGAAAUCCGAGGCCCAGAGGCCAGGAGGGAGGGCGGUGGGGAUCAGAGGCCAGGCCUCCCAGGCUCCUGGAGCCCCUCAGAGGUCAGGGUGAUAAGGAACAAUGAGUUUCCCAUUCUGGAGGAGGAAGGAAGUCCUGCGGCCACCUAAUCUCUGCUCCUCUGCCUCCUCCCUGCUCCCAGAACCUUUUCUCUGGAGAAGACUUUGAAGGCGGCUUCUAUCCAUCAACACUGAAUGUUAGGCUGUAGGAAGAUCAGCCCUACUAUCUGGAUCUUAUCCUCCAUCGCAGCAGAAGGGACACAGACAGGGAAAGCAGUUUGGAACCACUUUCCAAGGCCAAAGAAGCCAAGGCAGAAUGCACUUCAGCAGCAAGACUGAAGCCACUACAGGGGGAUAACUCCAGGACAUCUGUCCGCAUAAGAAUCACUACUUAACCCUACAUGUUUUUCUUUUUUCUUUUCUUUUUUUUUAAACUUAUAUUUUAUGUAUGAGUGUUCUGCAUGUACACUUGCAUGCCAGAAG